rnacentral:rRNA from 1 species
GAUGAACGCUGGCGGCGUGCCUAAUACAUGCAAGUCGAGCGAACAGACGAGGAGCUUGCUCCUCUGACGUUAGCGGCGGACGGGUGAGUAACACGUGGAUAACCUACCUAUAAGACUGGGAUAACUUCGGGAAACCGGAGCUAAUACCGGAUAAUAUAUUGAACCGCAUGGUUCAAUAGUGAAAGACGGUUUUGCUGUCACUUAUAGAUGGAUCCGCGCCGCAUUAGCCAGUUGGUAAGGUAACGGCUUACCAAGGCAACGAUGCGUAGCCGACCUGAGAGGGUGAUCGGCCACACUGGAACUGAGACACGGUCCAGACUCCUACGGGAGGCAGCAGUAGGGAAUCUUCCGCAAUGGGCGAAAGCCUGACGGAGCAACGCCGCGUGAGUGAUGAAGGUCUUCGGAUCGUAAAACUCUGUUAUUAGGGUAGAACAAAUGUGUAAGUAACUAUGCACGUCUUGACGGUACCUAAUCAGAAAGCCACGGCUAACUACGUG